rnacentral:rRNA from 1 species
AGACGAACCAAGCGAACGUUAUUCGGAAUUACUGGGCUUAAAGCGCGUGUAGGCGGAUGACCACGUCAGUCGUUGAAAUCCCCCCGGCUCAACCGGGGAACAGGCGCUGAUACGAGUUGUCUGGAGGUGGGUAGGGGAGACUGGAACUUCCGGUGGAGCGGUGAAAUGCGUUGAGAUCGGAAGGAACGCCCGCGGCGAAAGCGAGUCUCUGGACCCAUUCUGACGCUGAGACGCGAAAGCCAGGGGAGC